GAUGAACGCUGGCGGCGUGCCUAAUACAUGCAAGUCGAGCGAACAGACGAGGAGCUUGCUCCUCUGACGUUAGCGGCGGACGGGUGAGUAACACGUGGAUAACCUACCUAUAAGACUGGGAUAACUUCGGAAACCGGAGCUAAUACCGGAUAAUAUAUUUACCCGCAUGGUUCAAUAGUGAAAGACGGUUUUGCUGUCACUUAUAGAUGGAUCCGCGCCGCAUUAGCUAGUUGGUAAGGUAACGGCUUACCAAGGCGACGCUGCGUAGCCGACCUGAGAGGGUGAUCGGCCACACUGGAACUGAGACACGGUCCAGACUCCUACGGGAGGCAGCAGUAGGGAAUCUUCCGCAAUGGGCGAAAGCCUGACGGAGCAACGCCGCGUGAGUGAUGAAGGUCUUCGGAUCGUAAAACUCUGUUAUUAGGGAAGAACAAAUGUGUAAGUAACUAUGCACGUCUUGACGGUACCUAAUCAGAAAGCCACGGCUAACUACGUG
rnacentral:rRNA from 1 species